AAAGAAUGUAUCGAUAAGGUGAAACAAUAUUCUGAACUUAAAAAACAAUAUGCCAAGGCUCGCUUACAAAAUAUUGAAAUUAUUAAGCGCCUUUCUAAGUCUCAAUCAAUAAAAUCUCCGGAGGUCCUGUAUCCUGGUACAAUAACAGAAAAUGGCAUGCCUGAGAGUACCAAUCAAACCGAUGUCAAACCAGAAUUGUCAUCUUUGAUUGAAAAGUCCAAUUCACAACUUACCUAACAAUUGGUUAACGUUGUUUGUUUUCCCCAAAUCUGUUCUUUUACU